UGCCAGACUCCUACGGGAGGCAGCAGUAGGGAAUCUUUCACAAUGGGCGAAAGCCUGAUGGAGCAACGCCGCGUGCAGGAUGAAGGCCUUCGGGUUGUAAACUGCUUUUAUAAGCGAGAAAUAUGAUGGUAACUUAUGAAUAAGGAUCGGCUAACUACGUGCCAGCAGCCGCGGUAAUACGGAGGAUGCGAGCGUUAUCCGGAUUUAUUGGGUUUAAAGGGUGCGCAGGCGGCGAGUUAAGUCAGCGGUAAAAUUUGGGGGCCAAACCCAGACGAGCCGUUGAAACUGGCUUGCUAGAGUGGGCGAGAAGUAUGCGGAAUGCGUGGUGUAGCGGUGAAAUGCAUAGAUAUCACGCAGAACUCCGAUUGCGAAGGCAGCAUACCGGCGCCCAACUGACGCUCAGGCACGAAAGCGUGGGUAUCGAACAGGAUUAGAUACCCCUGUAA
rnacentral:rRNA from 1 species